UACGGAGGGUGCGAGCGUUGUCCGGAAUCACUGGGCGUAAAGGGCGCGUAGGCGGCUCAUGAAGGCUGUGGUGAAAGCCCGGGGCUCAACCCCGGGUCGGCCGUGCGAACUGCUGGGCUGGAGCACUGUAGAGGCAGGUGGAAUUCCGGGUGUAGCGGUGGAAUGCGUAGAGAUCCGGAAGAACACCGGUGGCGAAGGCGGCCUGCUGGGCAGUAGCUGACGCUGAUGCGCGACAGCGUGGGGAGCAAACAGG
rnacentral:rRNA from 1 species